rnacentral:rRNA from 1 species
AUGCCAAAGGAGCGUCCUGCAGCCCGUGCCACGCCCUUCGAUCAGACGUCCAUAGCCGUCCCCUUCAACCGGCUGGUGAGGCUAGCCGCGCGUGCGUUCUACGACGAUCUCCCCGCCGCCGGCGGCCAGCAGCACGCGCAGGGCACGGCCGUCGUCGUCCUCGACGCCCUCACCAGACGGGACGGGCAGUGGGUCCGCGAGGACGACCUCGCCGCGUCUCUAAGGCUGCAGCCCAAGCCGCUCCGCCGCGUGCUCCGCUACCUCGAGGAGGACAAGAUAGUGUCGAGGGACCACCGGAAGGAGCCGGCACCGGCCAAGCCAGCCGCCGGUGUCGCCGAGGAGGGCGACGAGAAGGAGAAGGUGAAGCUGCAUGUGAAGUCCUACUGCUGCCUGGACUACGCGCAGGCCUGCGACGCCGUCAGGUACCGGAUGCACCGCAUGAGGAAGAAGAUCAGGGACGAGCUGACGGCGGACAGCAGGGCCACGAUCCAGCACUACCUGUGCCCUGACUGCGGGAGGAGGUACUCGGCGCUCGACGCCCUCCGGCUCCUCGCCGAGGACUGCCAGAGCUUCCGCUGCGAGCACUGCAGCGGCGAGCUGGUCGUGGAGAAGGCUGCCACGAUCGCGACCGACGAGGCCGGGGACGGCGGCGAUGAUGGCAGCCGCGCACGGAAGCGUAGGCGGCUUGAGAAGCUGCAGGACAUGCAGCGGAGGAUGGAGGAGCAGCUGGAGCCGUUGCAGGCGCAGAUCCAGAGGGUGGAGGGCCUGCCUGCUCCAGAGUUCAUGAGCCUGCGGUCAUGGCAGAAGGAAAAUAAUGUUGAACUUGGAGUAUUAUUGCACGGUGCAGAUCAGUCUGGCACGGUCAGUGAUUCAGCACCGAAGGUCUUUCCUCCAUGGAUGGUAAAACUAGGCAUGGAUCAGACCGGUGGGAAAGCAAGAUCGGAAGGAAAGUCGGAAGGCGAGGAUGAUAAAAAGAUGAACUCGAAUGAAGAAGAAGAAAAGCAGCGUAUACUGCUGGAACAGGAAUACGCCAAGGCUUAUUAUGAAGCCCUUCUGAAGCAACAGCAGCUGGGCGCGAAUGUCAAACACGAGGACGAACAGCAGCUGGGCACAAAUAUCAAACACGAGGACGAACAACAGCUGGGCACAAAUAUCAAACACGAGGACGAUGAAGACGUGGAGGAAGAAGCUGGGAUUGAGUGGGAGGAUGGCGAUGCUGGGAUUGAGUGGGAAGAUGGCGAAAACUAA